UACAGAGGGUGCGAGCGUUAAUCGGAAUUACUGGGCGUAAAGCGUGCGUAGACGGUUAUUUAAGUCGGGUGUGAAAGCCCCGGGCUCAACCUGGGAAUUGCAUUCGAGACUGAAUAGCUAGGGUACGGUAGAGGGAAGUGGAAUUUCCGGUGUAGCGGUGAAAUGCGUAGAUAUCGGAAGGAACACCCGUGGCGAAGGCGGCUCUCUGGGACGGUACUGACGCUGAGACGCGAAAGCGUGGGGAGCGAACAGG
rnacentral:rRNA from 1 species